GUAGGUGGCAAGCGUUGUCCGGAAUUAUUGGGCGUAAAGCGCGCGCAGGCGGUUCGUUUAAGUCUGAUGUGAAAGACCCACGGGCUCAACCGUGGAGGGUCAUUGGAAACUGGAGAACUUGAGUACAGAAGAGGAAAGCGGAAUUCCACGUGUAGCGGUGAAAUGCGUAGAGAUGUGGAGGAACACCAGUGGCGAAGGCGGCUUUCUGGUCUGUAACUGACGCUGAGGCGCGAAAGCGUGGGGAGCAAACAGGAUUAGAUACCCUGGUAGUCCACGCCGUAAACGAUGAGUGCUAAGUGUUAGGGGGGUUUCCGCCCCUUAGUGCUGCAGCUAACGCAUUAAGCACUCCGCCUGGGGAGUACGGCCGCAAAGGCUG
rnacentral:rRNA from 1 species